GUGAGUUCCCAGAGAGCAGGGCUCCACAUGUGGGUCCCAAGUGGGUAGGUGCAUCCCUUGCUGGAGCUUGGAACAGACUUAU
rnacentral:RNase_P_RNA from 2 species